rnacentral:rRNA from 1 species
CCUACGGGAGGCAGCAGUGAGGAAUAUUGGUCAAUGGACGAGAGUCUGAACCAGCCAAGUAGCGUGAAGGAUGACUGCCCUAUGGGUUGUAAACUUCUUUUAUAUGGGAAUAAAAUGUUCCACGUGUGGGAUUUUGUAUGUACCAUAUGACUAAGGAUCGGCUAACUCCGUGCCAGCAGCCGCGGUAAUACGGAGGAUCCGAGCUUUAUCCUGAUUUAUUGGGUUUAAAGGGAGCGUAGGUGGAUUGUUAAGUCAGUUGUGAAAGUUUGCGGCUCAACCGUAAAAUUGCAGUUGAAACUGGCAGUCUUGAGUACAGUAGAGGUGGGCGGAAUUCGUGGUGUAGCGGUGAAAUGCUUAGAUAUCACGAAGAACUCCGAUUGCGAAGGCAGUUCACUGGACUGCAACUGACACUGAGGCGCGAAAGUGUGGGUAUCAAACAGGAUUAGAUACCCGUGUAGUC